rnacentral:rRNA from 1 species
GAUGAACGCUAGCGGCAGGCCUAACACAUGCAAGUCGAGGGGUAGAGUUUUUCGGGACUUGAGACCGGCGCACGGGUGCGUAACGCGUAUGCAAUCUACCUUAUACAGGGGAAUAGCCCAGAGAAAUUUGGAUUAAUGCCCCAUAGUGUUAUCGAAUCGCAUGGUUUGAUAACUAAAGUUCCAACGGUAUAAGAUGAGCAUGCGUCCCAUUAGUUAGUUGGUAAGGUAACGGCUUACCAAGGCUACGAUGGGUAGGGGUCCUGAGAGGGAGAUCCCCCACACUGGUACUGAGACACGGACCAGACUCCUACGGGAGGCAGCAGUGAGGAAUAUUGGACAAUGGGCGCAAGCCUGAUCCAGCCAUGCCGCGUGCAGGAUGACGGUCCUAUGGAUUGUAAACUGCUUUUGUACAGGAAGAAACACUACUUCGUGAAGUAGCUUGACGGUACUGUAAGAAUAAGGAUCGGCUAACUCCGUGCCAGCAGCCGCGGUAAAGUG